rnacentral:rRNA from 1 species
UACGUAGGGGGCAAGCGUUGUCCGGAUUUAUUGGGCGUAAAGAGCGUGUAGGCGGCCAGGUAGGUCCGUUGUGAAAACUCGAGGCUCAACCUCGAGACGUCGAUGGAAACCAUCUAGCUAGAGUCCGGAAGAGGAGAGUGGAAUUCCUGGUGUAGCGGUGAAAUGCGCAGAUAUCAGGAAGAACACCCGUGGCGAAGGCGGCUCUCUGGGACGUGACUGACGCUGAGACGCGAAAGCGUGGGGAGCGAACAGG